GCGUGCGGGAAGAAGGCCUUCGGGUUGUAAACCGCUUUUGUCGGGGAAGAAAUGCUCCGGGAUAAUACCCUGGGGAGAUGACGGUACCCGAAGAAUAAGCACCGGCUAACUACGUGCCAGCAGCCGCGGUAAUACGUAGGGUGCAAGCGUUAAUCGGAAUUACUGGGCGUAAAGCGUGCGCAGGCGGUUGUGCAAGACAGAUGUGAAAUCCCCGGGCUCAACCUGGGAACUGCAUUUGUGACUGCACGGCUGGAGUGCGGCAGAGGGGGAUGGAAUUCCGCGUGUAGCAGUGAAAUGCGU
rnacentral:rRNA from 1 species